CGCAGCCCGGCCGGCAGGAAGGGCUCCUUAACCCUUGGGGCGCGGGCCGGCGCCCGCAGGAACCCUGCCGGCGGAGGCCCCCGCGGGCGGCGAGGCGCGCGGACAGACAGGCUGGCGACAGUAGCUCAUCGCGAGCCGGUCGGUUUAAACUCGCAACUGCCAGGCGUCGUCACAUCUUGCUGUUCGAAGCCUCACGACUACCCACGCAGAAGAAAAAAUAAAACAUGGAACCAUUUUGCUCCCGAAAUCUAAGUGGAUGAGAAAUGUACAGCAUAAUUAAAAAGAAGAGGGCGUCAUGGAAAGCGGAGCGCUGAAAGGCCCUUCCUCCUGGAUGGUUCUUCCCGCAGAUCUCUGAGUGGCUGGCUCCUCCUAUCCUGAACAGAGGGUUUCCAAUGUCUUCUCUCAGAAGAAAACAGAGAAAUAGAGCAGCCUUCCUGACCCAGUCACUCUCUAUCACAUUUGAUUGUCUUCAAUGCACUUUUCACCAUCUGAAAUUAUUUUGUUUAUGAUUUACUUAUUUAUUAUCUGCCUCCUCUCCCAUAAAAUGACAGUUCUAGGAGACCAGA